CCGGGUUAGGUUACGUCCCGACAUGGAGCCGGGUUAGGUUACGUCCCGACGUGGAGCCGGGUUAGGUCACGUCCCGACGUGGAGCCGGGUUAGGUCACGUCCCGACGUGGAGCCGGGUUAGGUCACGUCCCGACGUGGAGCCGGGUUAGGUUACGUAGGUUACGUCCCGACGUGGAGCCGGGUUAGGUUACGUCCCGACGUGGAGCCGGGUUAGGUUACGUCCCGACGUGGAGCCGGGUUAGGUCACGUCCCGACAUGGAGCCGGGUUAGGUCACGUCCCGACAUGGAGCCGGGUUAUGGUCACGUCCCGACAUGGAGCCGGGUUAGGUUACGUAGGUUACGUCCCGACAUGGAGCCGGGUUAGGUUACGUCCCGACAUGGAGCCGGGUUAGGUCACGUCCCGACAUGGAGCCGGGUUAGGUCACGUCCCGACAUGGAGCCGGGUUAGGUCACGUCCCGACAUGGAGCCGGGUUAGGUUACGUCCCGACGUGGAGCCGGGUUAGGUCACGUCCCGACAUGGAGCCGGGUUAGGUUACGUCCCGACGUGGAGCCGGGUUAGGUUACGUCCCGACAUGGAGCCGGGUUAGGUCACGUCCCGACGUGGAGCCGGGUUAGGUCACGUCCCGACAUGGAGCCGGGUUAGGUCACGUCCCGACGUGGAGCCGGGUUAGGUUACGUAGGUUACGUCCCGACGUGGAGCCGGGUUAGGUUACGUCCCGACGUGGAGCCGGGUUAGGUCACGUCCCGACGUGGAGCCGGGUUAGGUCACGUCCCGACGUGGAGCCGGGUUAGGUCACGUCCCGACGUGGAGCCGGGUUAGGUCACGUCCCGACGUGGAGCCGGGUUAGGUCACGUCCCGACGUGGAGCCGGGUUAGGUCACGUCCCGACACGGAGCCGGGUUAGCUUACGUCCCGACGUGGAGCCGGGUUAGGUCACGUCCCGACGUGGAGCCGGGUUAGCUUACGUCCCGACGUGGAGCCGGGUUAGGUUACGUAGGUUACGUCCCGACGUGGAGCCGGGUUAGG